rfam:Pan troglodytes isolate Yerkes chimp pedigree #C0471 (Clint) chromosome 1, whole genome shotgun sequence.
GCUGGGCAUGGUUGCUCAUGCCUGUAAUCCCAGCACUUUGGGAGGCUGAGGUGGGUGGAUCACUUGAGGUCAGGAGUUCAAGACCAGCCUGGCCAACAUGGUGAAACCCCAUCUCUA